rnacentral:lncRNA from 1 species
AAACAUUUGUCAAAAAGUGUAAAAUGCUUACUUGGUAAUCUAAAUUUCAUUAAGAUUUUCCAUCAACAUUAAAAUCUUUGUUAUACAUGAGAAUUUUAAAUUUAAGAGUUUUUUUUUAAUAUUUGUCAAGACUAAAUAAAUAAAUUGAAAUAUAUUUAAUUAAUAUUCUAAAAAGAUAGUCCAUGCAUGAAUCUGGACAUUGACGCCUAGCAUCAAUUUAUGUUUUUAAUGCCUAGCACAUUUAGGCUUGUUAAAGCUCGAAGCUUACUUUAUGCAUUUUAGAAUACUGAAAUUAAUAAAUAAAAUAAGUUUAGGGGAUCUAAUUACAUACCAUUGAAACCGUUUUCCUCCAAAUCCAGAUAUUCAAGUGCUGAUAAGUUUCCAAUUUCAUUUGGAAUAUUUCCUGUCAAUCCAUUUAAAAAUACAAAUUUUAAAAUAUCAAAUGUUCAAUUAACACAGGAUAGAUUUAAUUAAUGAGAAGUACCAAAUAAUUUAAAGUUGAUAAUUAAGCGCUAUUAGGUUUCCAAUUUCAUUUGGAAUAUUUCCU